GACGAACGCUGGCGGCGUGCCUAAUACAUGCAAGUCGAGCGAGCUUGCCUAGAUGAUUUUAGUGCUUGCACUAAAUGAAACUAGAUACAAGCGAGCGGCGGACGGGUGAGUAACGCGUGGGUAACCUGCCUUACACAGGGGGAUAGCAGUUGGAAACGACUGGUAAUACCGCAUACCUUGCAUUAGUUGCAUGACUUAUGUAAGAAAGAUUUAUCGGUGUAAGAUGGACCCGCGUCUGAUUAGCUAGUUGGUACGGUAACGGCGUACCAAGGCGACGAUCAGUAGCCGGCCUGAGAGGGUGAACGGCCACAUUGGGACUGAGAUACGGCCCAG
rnacentral:rRNA from 1 species